AACUUCUAAAACUCGGAAGAAAAGGCAAGCGGAGCUCUGAAUCCUAAAAAUGAAUCAAUACGCAGAUUGGAAAGUUCCCUAAAUAGAUGAACAGGGGCAACCACGAAUCCAGACUUUGCCAGGCAGAAGUCUUUGGAUUUGGCAUCAAUCCUUCUUCUAGUCUUGGGGGCGUGGGAGGCUGGGUUGGGGACCUAGGGGCACUCUAGCCUGCUGGGGGCAUUUCUUCUGUCCCUUAGAGGUGUGGGCUUCUCCUUCAACCUUGAGCUUUGCCUCAAGUCCCUCUGCUGUCACACUGGCUUCCUGAUGUUCAGGGGCCUGCUUCUCCCAGGUGUGCAGGGGCCCUGCCCAGCCCUCCUGCCUGGAUGCUGGCACUCACACUGGGAAGAGAAGGAGCAGCAGAGGCCGCCCAGCCUGGGUUGUUUACCCCGCCGGAGCAGGAAGGGCCUGUCCGGCUCCUUGCCCCCUGAUCUCUAGAGGACAGGGCUGGCCGCCAGCCAGAAGCUUGACCAUUCAUGGAGAGCCCAAGGGCCAUGAAGAGCAAAGGACUGGAGCAGGAGGAAGCAGGAAAUGGAAGUUCUUCCUUGGUUGGGUCCUCCUCUUCAGUGGCCUGUGGGGUCCACCAUGGACAGCAAGCUGUCCCUUAUGCAGCGGGGCAGUGUGAGCCCAGGGAGAAAGCCCAGGUGGACAGAUGAGGAGGUUCCACCCAGAUGGAGGACAUAUUCUCAAAUCUGCAUGGACUUCAUAUCCUCAACUCUGGAUCUGGAUUUGGUGCAAGACACUCCUGGUGGAACAGGGGUUCACUUGAUGCUCUAAUCCCUUGUCACCAUGAAACGUGUGUUUUUCUUUUUCCCUAAUCUUCUCCUUCCUGAUUUUCUCCUCCCUGAUCCUGUUUUCCCUGAUCUCUCCUCCCUAACCUUAUUUUCUCUGAAUCACCUCUUUAAAAAGACGGCUAUUCCUGCCGAGGGACAGAAUCAUAUCCUUUGGGACAUGAGUCCCCUGUGUUUCUCCUUUGCUAGCAAAGCAAUAAACCAUCUUUUUCCCUUUUUCUCAAAA